GUGAGGAAUAUUGGUCAAUGGGCGGGAGCCUGAACCAGCCAAGUCGCGUGAAGGAAGAAGGAUCUAUGGUUCGUAAACUUCUUUUGCAGGGGAAUAAAGUGCAGGACGUGUCCUGUUUUGUAUGUACCCUGAGAAUAAGGAUCGGCUAACUCCGUGCCAGCAGCCGCGGUAAUACGGAGGAUCCGAGCGUUAUCCGGAUUUAUUGGGUUUAAAGGGUGCGUAGGUGGUUUGAUAAGUCAGCGGUGAAAGUUUGCAGCUUAACUGUAAAAAUGCCGUUGAAACUGUCGGUCUUGAGUGUAAAUGAGGUAGGCGGAAUGCGUGGUGUAGCGGUGAAAUGCAUAGAUAUCACGCAGAACUCCGAUUGCGAAGGCAGCUUACUAAGCUACAACUGACACUGAAGCACGAAAGCGUGGGGAUCAAACAGGAUUAGAAACCCUAGUAGUCC
rnacentral:rRNA from 1 species